CUGGAGGUAUCAGAAGUGCGAAUGCUGACAUAAGUAACGAUAAAGCGGGUGAAAAGCCCGCUCGCCGGAAGACCAAGGGUUCCUGUCCAACGUUAAUCGGGGCAGGGUGAGUCGACCCCUAAGGCGAGGCCGAAAGGCGUAGUCGAUGGGAAACAGGUUAAUAUUCCUGUACUUGGUGUUACUGCGAAGGGGGGACGGAGAAGGCUAUGUUGGCCGGGCGACGGUUGUCCCGGUUUAAGCGUGUAGGCUGGUUUUCCAGGCAAAUCCGGAAAAUCAAGGCUGAGGCGUGAUGACGAGGCACUACGGUGCUGAAGCAACAAAUGCCCUGCUUCCAGGAAAAGCCUCUAAGCAUCAGGUAACAUCAAAUCGUACCCCAAACCGACACAGGUGGUCAGGUAGAGAAUACCAAGGCGCUUGAGAGAACUCGGGUGAAGGAACUAGGCAAAAUGGUGCCGUAACUUCGGGAGAAGGCACGCUGAUAUGUAGGUGA
rnacentral:rRNA from 1 species